rnacentral:rRNA from 1 species
CGAGCGGAAGGCCCUUCGGGGUACUCGAGCGGCGAACGGGUGAGUAACACGUGAGCAACCUGCCCUAGGCUUUGGGAUAACCCCGGGAAACCGGGGCUAAUACCGGAUAGGACCUGGCGCCGCAUGGUGUUGGGUGGAAAGUUUUUCGGCCUGGGAUGGGCUCGCGGCCUAUCAGCUUGUUGGUGGGGUGAUGGCCUACCAAGGCGACGACGGGUAGCCGGCCUGAGAGGGCGACCGGCCACACUGGGACUGAGACACGGCCCAGACUCCUACGGGAGGCAGCAGUGGGGAAUAUUGCACAAUGGGCGGAAGCCUGAUGCAGCGACGCCGCGUGAGGGAUGACGGCCUUCGGGUUGUAAACCUCUUUCAGCAGGGACGAAGCGUAAGUGACGGUACCUGCAGAAGAAGCGCCGGCCAACUACGUGCCAGCAGCCGCGGUAAGACGUAGGGCGCGAGCGUUGUCCGGAUUUAUUGGGCGUAAAGAGCUCGUAGGCGGCUUGUCGCGUCGACUGUGAAAACCCGUGGCUCAACCGCGGGCCUGCAGUCGAUACGGGCAGGCUAGAGUUCGGUAGGGGAGACUGGAAUUCCUGGUGUAGCGGUGAAAUGCGCAGAUAUCAGGAGGAACACCGGUGGCGAAGGCGGGUCUCUGGGCCGAUACUGACGCUGAGGAGCGAAAGCGUGGGGAGCGAACAGGAUUAGAUACCCUGGUAGUCCACGCUGUAAACGUUGGGCGCUAGGUGUGGGGGGGCCUCUCCGGUUCCCUGUGCCGCAGCUAACGCA